rnacentral:rRNA from 1 species
GAUGAACGCUGGCGGCGUGCCUAAUACAUGCAAGUCGAGCGAACGGACGAGAAGCUUGCUUCUCUGAUGUUAGCGGCGGACGGGUGAGUAACACGUGGAUAACCUACCUAUAAGACUGGGAUAACUUCGGGAAACCGGAGCUAAUACCGGAUAAUAUUUUGAACCGCAUGGUUCAAAAGUGAAAGACGGUCUUGCUGUCACUUAUAGAUGGAUCCGCGCUGCAUUAGCUAGUUGGUAAGGUAACGGCUUACCAAGGCAACGAUGCAUAGCCGACCUGAGAGGGUGAUCGGCCACACUGGAACUGAGACACGGUCCAGACUCCUACGGGAGGCAGCAGUAGGGAAUCUUCCGCAAUGGGCGAAAGCCUGACGGAGCAACGCCGCGUGAGUGAUGAAGGUCUUCGGAUCGUAAAACUCUGUUAUUAGGAAAGAACAUAUGUGUAAGUAACUGUGCACAUCUUGACGGUACCGAAUCAGAAAGCCACGGCUAACUACGU